rnacentral:lncRNA from 1 species
GGGACAGCCUGAUGGGUCCUCAGAAUCCAGGGACAGAGCUCAAAUCCAGGGCAGCCUAGGUGGCCCGGGUUCUCUCUUCUUGGCUUCAGGGUAGUGCUUAACCCUGACAUCUCUAGUUAGAAACCUGUGAAGUGUCAACAUGUG